rnacentral:rRNA from 1 species
CCUACGGGAGGCAGCAGUGAGGAAUAUUGGUCAAUGGACGAAAGUCUGAACCAGCCAAGUAGCGUGAAGGAUGACUGCCCUAUGGGUUGUAAACUUCUUUUAUAAGGGAAUAAAACGAGGCACGUGUGCCUUUUUGCAUGUACUUUAUGAAUAAGGAUCGGCUAACUCCGUGCCAGCAGCCGCGGUAAUACGGAGGAUCCGAGCGUUAUCCGGAUUUAUUGGGUUUAAAGGGAGCGUAGGUGGGUUGUUAAGUGAGUUGUGAAAGUUUGCGGCUCAACCGUAAAAUUGCAACUGAUACUGGCAGUCUUGAGUACAGCUGAGGUAGGCGGAAUUCGUGGUGUAGCGGUGAAAUGCUUAGAUAUCACGAAGAACCCCGAUUGCGAAGGCAGCUUACGAAACUGUGACUGACAUUGAUGCUCGAAAGUGCGGGUAUCAAACAGGAUUAGAUACCCGAGUAGUC